rnacentral:rRNA from 1 species
GUGGGGAAUCUUGCGCAAUGGGCGAAAGCCUGACGCAGCCAUGCCGCGUGAAUGAUGAAGGUCUUAGGAUUGUAAAAUUCUUUCACCGGGGACGAUAAUGACGGUACCCGGAGAAGAAGCCCCGGCUAACUUCGUGCCAGCAGCCGCGGUAAUACGAAGGGGGCUAGCGUUGCUCGGAAUUACUGGGCGUAAAGGGAGCGUAGGCGGAUAGUUUAGUCAGAGGUGAAAGCCCAGGGCUCAACCUUGGAAUUGCCUUUGAUACUGGCUAUCUUGAGUAUGGAAGAGGUAUGUGGAACUCCGAGUGUAGAGGUGAAAUUCGUAGAUAUUCGGAAGAACACCAGUGGCGAAGGCGACAUACUGGUCCAUUACUGACGCUGAGGCUCGAAAGCGUGGGGAGCAAACAGGAUUAGAUACCCCGGUAGUCC